rnacentral:rRNA from 1 species
UAACAGGAUUAGAUACCCUGGGUAGUCCACGCCCUAAACUAUGAUCACUAACUAUUGGAAAUACUAUAUUCAGUGGCUAAGCGAAAGCGAUAAGUGAUCCACCUGGGAAGUAUUGUCGCAAGAUUGAAACUCAAAGGAAUUGACGGGGUUCCGCACAAGCGGUGGAGCAUGUGGUUUAAUUCGAUGAUACGCGAGAAACCUUACCAAGGCUUAAAUGUAUUACGAAUAAACUGGAAACAGUUUAGUCAUAUAUGACGGAAUACAAGGUGCUGCAUGGUUGUCUUCAGUUCGUGCUGUGAAGUGUUUGGUUAAGUCCUAUAACGAGCGCAACCCUUAUUGCUAGUUGCCAUCGGAUAAAGCCGGGGACUCUAACAAAACUGCCUGUGUAAACUGUGAGGAAGGUGGGGAUAAUGUCAAAUCAUCAUGGCCUUUGUGCCUUGGGCUACACACGUGCUACAAUGGCUGGUACAAAGGGUUGCCACUGGGCGACCAGAAGCUAAUCUCUAAAACCAGUCUCAGUUCAGAUUGGAGUCUGCAAUUCGACUCUAUGAAGAUGGAAUCGCUAGUAAUCGCGCAUCAGCAAUGGCGCGGUGAAUAAGUUCUCGGAACUUGCACACACUGCCCGUCAAGCCAGAGAAGUCAAGGGUACUUGAAGUCAGUAAUCCUUAUUGGACCUGCCCAAGGUAAAAUUGAUAACUAGGGCUAAGUCGUAACAAGGUAACCA